CUUUGAUGAAGGCUUUCCCAAGAUUCUCUAACGGUCUGAUAAAUCGUUCCAAGGAGUUGGUGGGUCGAAAGAAUUCGAUCUAGUUCUUAUCAAGAAGUUCCGAAGGAUAUCAAAGUCUUAAACAAAGUUAGAAUAAAAAUGGAGAAGAAUUUCAUCAUCCUAUGUUAAGAGGAGGUCUAGGAAGCGCCUAACUAGAUGCAGAAGUUAGCAGUGAUCAGAGGAGGCAGUGAGGGGGGAGAGGCAUGCUCCCAUCGAUCUCCACCUCCAGGUUCCAUCUCCAUGUGGCCAUAAGCCCCCAGCAGCCAUCAUCAUCAUCAGUUCUUCCACCCGUAACUACUUUGCUUUGCCUUUUUAGGAGUUUGUACUUGCUUUGCAUCAUCAGUUCUUCCAUCCAUGACUACACUGCUAAGUUCCACGGAUACAAACAGAUAGGGUGGAAUUAUAAACUCUAAGGUUUCAAAAUGGGGGUUUGUUUUAUUUUUAACAUAUAAUAAAAAGCAGAUGUGAUUGAGAUAGUAGAUCAGAAUU